AGUGAACGCUGGCGGUAGGCCUAACACAUGCAAGUCGAACGGCAGCACAGAGGAGCUUGCUCCUUGGGUGGCGAGUGGCGGACGGGUGAGGAAUACAUCGGAAUCUACUCUGUCGUGGGGGAUAACGUAGGGAAACUUACGCUACUACCGCAUACGCCCUACGGGUGAAAGCAGGGGAUCUUCGGACCUUGCGCGAUUGAAUGAGCCGGUGCCGGAUUAGCUAGUUGGCGGGGUAAAGGCCCACCAAGGCGACGAUCCGUAGCUGGUCUGAGAGGAUGAUCAGCCACACUGGAACUGAGACACGGUCCAGACUCCUACGGGAGGCAGAAGUGGGGAAUAUUGGACAAUGGGCGAAAGCCUGAUCCAGCCAUACCGCGUGGGUGAAGAAGGCCUUCGGGUUGUAAAGCCCUUUUGUUGGGAAAGAAAUCCAUCUGGUUAAUACCCGGGUGGGAUGACGGUACCCAAAGAAUAAGCACCGGCUAACUUCGUGCCAGCAGCCGCCGUAA
rnacentral:rRNA from 1 species